AACGAACGCUGGCGGCAUGCCUAACACAUGCAAGUCGAACGAACCCUUCGGGGUUAGUGGCGCACGGGUGCGUAACGCGUGGGAAUCUGCCCUUUGCUUCGGAAUAACCGUUAGAAAUGACUGCUAAUACCGGAUGAUGUCUUCGGACCAAAGAUUUAUCGGCAAAGGAUGAGCCCGCGUAGGAUUAGGUAGUUGGUGGGGUAAAGGCCUACCAAGCCGACGAUCCUUAGCUGGUCUGAGAGGAUGAUCAGCCAGACUGGGACUGAGACACGGACCAGACUCCUACGGGAGGCAGCAGUGGGGAAUAUUGGACAAUGGACGCAAGUCUGAUCCAGCAAUGCCGCGUGAGUGAUGAAGGCCUUAGGGUUGUAAAGCUCUUUUACCAGGGAUGAUAAUGACAGUACCUGGAGAAUAAGCUCCGGCUAACUCCGUGCCAGCAGCCGCGGUAACAC
rnacentral:rRNA from 1 species